UGUCGCACCUUAUUAUAUAUUUUGCUUGAUUGCGAUUGCUGAUAAUUGUUGUUAUGCUUGCUUCACUGAUCCAUAUUUUGCUGUGUUUGUUGCAUGGGAUUCAAGACUUCCAAACAGAACAAAACGAUGGCUGAUAACCAUCAGAGUGAUGGCAGGUGGGCACUAUUUGUCGUCGACAAUGCAGAGGAACAAGAGAAUUUUGGCAUCCUUGAGUACUGAAGGACCUACCACUGAGAGUGUUAGUAAAAAGCAUUCACAUCUGGGACAACCAUUGUGUAAUUCGAGCCUUCAAGACGCAUCUGUAGUUCUUUCUACCAUGCCACCGAAGCAGCCGCAAGACAAGAACAACAGUGGUUUCUCAAACAGUCUGGGCAUCUUGCCAGGAAUGAGAACCCCAGAUCAUAACGGCACAAAUCGAGAAUCGAGUAAUUCUGAAGAAGUUUCAGGUGCUGAUCCAGAUUCUGAAAUUGACCCCUUAGUGCUAAGCCUACCUGUGCGAUAUGUGCUAGAAGAGAGGAGCGCUAGACCUACCGAGGCAGUUUCAGAAAUUGACCACUUCGUUCAAGAGGAAAGGACUCCGACCUCAGCGGCUAGCUCCGAAGCCGUGGUGCUACUUCCUCCGUACCGUCGUUCCUUAUUUCAUAUAUGCUCUUUGAUUCUGCACCCGAACAGAUUGUUGUCAUGCUGCUUGCUUGUCUUGUCCAUAUUGUGUUCUUAUCAGGAGUGGAAGAAUAGGCCUAACCCGACGCAUCCACUUACCCAUCUGGGCACGAGAGGCUGACCUGUGCCAGACGACAGAAGUGGACCUACUCAGUCCAUUGUUCAAGAGCAAGUGGUUCAGACCCCUGCGGGUUGUGGUUCUACUUCCUCCAUAUUGUUGUGCCUUAUUAUAUAGUUCAGCUGUUGUCAUCCUCAGCUGGUUGGUCCAUUUUGCGUGCUCACCAGGCGUCGAUCGAGAAAAGACGAUCGGCGCAAGAGGAGAGAACUGCCAGACCUAGCAGCUCCCAUCGAUCUGACGAAAGUAAUGAUGUUUUAGGGGAUGUCUCUACGGACAAUGAACACCCUGCGCACUUGAUGGACAAGGAUUUGGGGCUACGACAAGAGACAACUCCGUCUGGCAAUUGGCUCGAUGGCAUGUUUCUUGAGCUAAACU